CCUACGGGAGGCAGCAGUGGGGAAUAUUGCGCAAUGGGCGAAAGCCUGACGCAGCGACGCCGCGUGAGGGAUGAAGGUCUUCGGAUCGUAAACCUCUGUUAGCAGGGAAGAACGGCCACUGGGCUAAUCAGCAGUGCAUUGACGGUACCUGCAAAGGAAGCACCGGCUAACUCCGUGCCAGCAGCCGCGGUAAUACGGAGGGUGCGAGCGUUAAUCGGAAUUAUUGGGCGUAAAGCGCUCGUAGGCGGUAUGUCAAGUCAAGGGUGAAAGCCCCGGGCUCAACGUGGGAGCUGCCUUGGAAACUGGCAAACUGGAGUGUGUGAGAGGAUAGUGGAAGUCCAGGUGUAGGAGUGAAAUCCGUAGAUAUAUGGAGGAACAUCAGUGGCGAAGGCGACUCUCUGGCACAUAACUGACGCUGAGGAGCGAAAGCGUGGGUAGCAAACAGGAUUAGAUACCCGAGUAGUC
rnacentral:rRNA from 1 species